UGCAAAUUGAGGAGUCGGUUUGUGCAAGUUAAGGAGUCGAUUAAGCGUGCCCGGGAAGGCGUUUUGUUUGUUUGCGUGGCCAAUAUCGGGGUAUGGAGUGGCGUUUAAAUUCAUAAGUGAAGACAAUCAAAC
rnacentral:sRNA from 1 species